rnacentral:rRNA from 1 species
GAUGAACGCUAGCGGCAGGCUUAAUACAUGCAAGUCGAGGGGCAGCAUGGUGUACCAAUACACUGAUGGCGACCGGCAAACGGGUGCGGAACACGUACCCAACCUUCCCAAAACUGGUGAAUAGCCCUCCAAAAGGAGGAUUAAUACACCAUAACAUAGUGAAGCGGCAUCGCUUUAUUAUUAAAGUAGCAAUACGGUUUUGGAUGGGCGUGCGCCUGAUUAAAUAGUUGGCGGGGUAACGGCCCACCAAGUCUACAAUCAGUAACUGGUGUGAGAGCACGACCAGUCACACGGGCACUGAAACACGGGCCCAACUCCUACGGGAGGCAGCAGUAAGGAAUAUUGGUCAAUGGACAAAAGUCUGAACCAGCCAUGCCGCGUGAAGGAUGAAGGCCCUCUGGGUUGUAAACUUCUUUUAUAGGGAACAAAAAAAGGGAAUUCUUCCUCACUUGACGGUACCCUAGGAAUAAGCACCGGCUAACUCCGUG